AGCGAUACAUAUCCACGACAACAGAACGAAUCAAAAGUCGAUGUGUUGUUGUAUCGUGUGAGAGGAGGGAUCGAUGUAGGCUGGGUAUACUGUAGGUUACCUCUUUACUGAUGCUUUGAUCUAAUGCACACACACACACACACACACACACAUACACACACACAGAGACUAAGAGUCACAUUUCCUUUGUACACCACACUGUGGCAGUCAGCCUGUCAGUCUGGCUCUGCGUCUGUGGUGGUAGCCCGCCUGCAGCCCAGCGUGAGGGAUGAAGGCCCAGUGGUGGAGCUGCGUGUUGGGCUUACUCUGCAUACCUGCUGAGGUUCUGCUCAGCACCUGGACAGUUUCUCAAGAUCCCAUGUCCCUCUGUCGGAUGAGGGUCAACUCAUCUGCUGAGAUCAGAUGCUCCACGUCUUUGUCCAACCCGAUGGGUUUAACCCUGCAGAGGAGUUUUCAUGGUAAACCGGACGUUGUGUACCUGGAUUUGAAAAACGGAACGUUGAUCAAGAACACGACAGCUCAAGAGUUUAAAGGCCGAAUUCAUGUAGCUGCAGACCGGCACACGGAGGAGGGCUGUGGCUUCAUCUUACGGCUGUCUCUGCUGGGGCUGGAGGACACGGGCCUGUACUUCUGCAGCUGGAGCUACAUGUCACACACUGUUGCAACUCGAAAAAAUACCCAGCAAUGGCACCGUUAUUAUUGUGGCAGACGGAGAUCCACAGGAACAAUGCAGCGACCACGUUUUGAAUUUCAUCUUGAUUGCCUUCAUUGCGACAGCUUUCGCCGUCAUAGUGUUCCUCUUAAUUGGAAUAUGGAUCCGGAAAUGCAAACGAUUUACAAAGAGCUUCAGACCGGCCAGAGCUGUAAAACCACCCAGACCUGACAGGCCUCAGCACGUCUGUCCUCAACACAGUCCCUACUUAGUCACAUCUGUAAAUACUUUGGACUUCAGGGGCAUUCUGUAACACCAACGGUACAUUCAAGGGAUUGAUUUUGAGUCAGCAGCUUCGUCGCCCAGGAAAUCUCUUUCUGUGCUUUCCAUUUCCUCUAUAAUACACAAAUUGUGUUUUGCUUGCAGAAAAGUGAUUGAGCCACCACAUCCUGGCUCAUGUGGCGUGUACAGGUGCGCUGCGUGUGAAAAAAGCAGUUAGUUAUUCUAUAUAUGUUGCAUUUAUUCUGUUUCCUUUGUGUCUCAUGAAUAGAGUUUGAUCUUUUCUGUCUGAUAUGUGCAUUAAAUCAUUUUGCUGUUCCUUUGAAGAGCCUAAAAACGAUUUUAACAAUUCCCACAACUACAUCUUCAUCCUGGAACAAGACGAGAACAUCUGCCUCCAAAUUACAUAUGUUUUAGUAUUGAAAGUUAACUGCACAACCGAGAUGUGUGUGCACUCUUUAUAUAAAUGGUGAAGAUAUUAUAAGUAGAUGCACCAACAGACGUAUUAGGAAAUAUGUGUUGAAUAUUACAUUCUUUUCUCUUUGCUUAGACCAGCAGUGUCCAAACUGAAACUUAAUGGUGGGUCCAAGAGCAGAAAUCUAUUGUAUUUUAUUUCAUUGUAAAUGAUUGUUCUAAUAUCACAAGUAGAAUUCAUUGAAAGGCAUUUUGUCCGUGUGCCACUGUCUCUGCCUCUUUUUGUUUUCUCAACACACUCUCACCAAACUGACUUCCUGCCGCCAUGUUCAGAUUAUAAAAAAAUAAAUCUUACAUUUUUACCUCCCAUAAAAAAUGCAUUUCUUAUGAUUUAUAUUAUAAUUGUAUUUACUUUUCUUUUUUCAUUUAUUUUAAUUUAGCUUUUAACUAAAAAAACAUCUGAUGGGCCAACGUUAGGCA
ensembl:lncRNA uncharacterized LOC115024717